rnacentral:hammerhead_ribozyme from 1 species
AUCCAGCUGACAAGUCCCAAACAGGAAGAAAUCUUCGUCCUGGAU